rnacentral:tRNA from 1 species
GAUGGGUGGCUGAGCGGUUGAAAGCACCGGUCUUGAAAACCGGCGUGGGUUUACGCCCACCGUGGGUUCGAAUCCCACCCCAUC